rnacentral:rRNA from 1 species
UACGUAGGGUGCGAGCGCUGUCCGGAAUUACUGGGCGUAAAGAGCUCGUAGGUGGUUUGUCGCGUUGUUCGUGAAAACUCACAGCUCAACUGUGGGCGUGCGGGCGAUACGGGCAGACUGGAGUACUGCAGGGGAGACUGGAAUUCCUGGUGUAGCGGUGAAAUGCGCAGAUAUCAGGAGGAACACCGGUGGCGAAGGCGGGUCUCUGGGCCGAUACUGACGCUGAGGAGCGAAAGCGUGGGGAGCAAACAGG